rnacentral:rRNA from 1 species
GGCGGCGUGCUUAACACAUGCAAGUCGAACGUGAUUCAGAGCUUGCUCUGAUGAAAGUGGCGCACGGGUGAGUAACGCGUGGAUAACCUGCCCUGGUAUCUGGGAUAACACACCGAAAGGGGUGCUAAUACCGGAUAAGCCCACGAACUCUUCGGAGAUUGAGGGAAAAGGUGGCCUCUAUUUAUAAGCUACCGUAUCAGGAUGGGUCCGCGUACCAUUAGCUAGUUGGUGGGGUAAUGGCCCACCAAGGCGACGAUGGUUAGCUGGUCUGAGAGGAUGAUCAGCCACACUGGAACUGAGACACGGUCCAGACUCCUACGGGAGGCAGCAGUGGGGAAUUUUGCGCAAUGGGGGAAACCCUGACGCAGCAACGCCGCGUGAGUGAUGAAGGCUUUCGGGUCGUAAAGCUCUGUCAGAGGGGAAGAAAUGAAUUGAGCUAAUACCUCGAUUUCUUGACGGUACCCUCAAAGGAAGCACCGGCUAACUCCGUGCCAGCAGCCGCGGUAAUACGGANGGUGCAAGCGUUGUUC